UACGUAGGGACCGAGCGUUGUCCGGAAUCAUUGGGCGUAAAGAGCGUGUAGGCGGCCAAUUAAGUCCUGCGUGAAAUCUCGGGGCUCAACCCCGAGCGGUCGUGGGAAACUGGUUGGCUAGAGUGCGGGAGAGGAGAGUGGAAUUCCUGGUGUAGCGGUGAAAUGUGUAGAGAUCGGGAGGAACACCGGGUGGCGAAGGCGGUCUUCUGGACGGUGACUGACGCUGAGGCGCGAAAGCGUGGGGAGCAAACGGG
rnacentral:rRNA from 1 species